UCUAAUGUGGCAGAUUAGUGCUAUGGAUUUAAAUCCCAUGUAUAAAGUUUAACUUUCUUUAGAA
rnacentral:tRNA from 1 species